CAGCAGCCGCGGUAAUACGAGGGGGGCAAGCGUUGUUCGGAAUUAUUGGCGUAAAGGGUGCGUAGGCGGUUCGUUAAGACAGAUGUGAAAUCCCCGGGCUUAACCUGGGAACUGCAUUUGUGAUUGGCGAGCUAGAGUAUGGCAGAGGGGGGUAGAAUUCCACGUGUAGCAGUGAAAUGCGUAGAGAUGUGGAGGAAUACCGAUGGCGAAGGCAGCCCCCUGGGCCAAUACUGACGCUCAUGCACGAAAGCGUGGGGAGCAAACAGGAUUAGAUACCCCUGUAGUCCCUGUCUCUUAUACC
rnacentral:rRNA from 1 species